rnacentral:rRNA from 1 species
GCAUAUCAAUAAGCGGAGGAAAAGAAAAUAACAAUGAUUCCCUUAGUAACGGCGAGUGAAGGGGGAUAAGCUCAAAUUUUAAAUCUACCAGGUUAACCUGGUCGAGUUGUAAUUUGAAGAAGCGUUUUCCGCGUUCGGGUCGGCCCAAAUCCUUUGGGAUAAGGUAUCAUGGAGGGUGAGAAUCCCGUUCGGCUGACCUUAGGAUGCUUUACGAUACGCUCUCAAAGAGUCGAGUUGUUUGGGAUUGCAGCUCAAAAUGGGAGGUAAAUUUCUCCUAAGGCUAAAUACCGGCGAGAGACCGAUAGCGAACAAGUACCGUGAGGGAAAGAUGAAAAGAACUUUGAAAAGAGAGUUAAAUAGUACGUGAAAUUGUUGAAAGGGAAACGAUUGAAGUCAGUCGUACCGGCGGGAAAUCAGCUUCUCGAGUGGGGGUUCGCGGGUGCGUGGAGCUUCGGCCUUCGUCGCUUGUGACACCUUUUGCUUCUGGAGCGUACUUUUCCGUGUGGUAGGUCAACAUCGGUUUCGAUUGCCAUAAAAUGACCGGAGGAAUGUGGCUUCGAUCUUGUAUUGGAGUGUUAUAGCCUCUGGUAGAUGUGGUGGUUGGGAUCGAGGAUUGCAACGAAUACCCUUUGGGCUAUCCGCCUGACCUCUGAAAGUCGCUUGGGUACCGAAAGCUUGCUUACGGUCAUUUAAGUUGGCGGUCAAAAGGUUAGAACGUGAUUAAAUUCGUUAAGGAUGUUGACGUA